rnacentral:lncRNA from 1 species
GUGACGCCAGCUUCAACGGGUACAAAACUCAAAACAUGAACAACAAUAUAUAUUACCAAUCUUCAAACCUGGUUUGCCUAGAACUGGAAUACAGUUGCCUGCGACAUAUUUUAGAAGAACUAGAAAAGUCAAAGUAAUGGAUAACAGAAAAGAGCCUCCAUUCUUCAAUGAUGAUAACAUGGGACCAUUUUACUACAGACUUCAUUUCUGUGAUACCAUGGAGCUCUUCAUUGAAACAUUAACUGGAACAUGUUUUGAGCUGAGAGUUUCACCUUUUGAAACUGUUAUUUCUGUGAAAGCAAAAAUUCGAAGAUUGGAAGGUAUUCCCAUCUGUCGACAACACUUAAUUU